rnacentral:lncRNA from 1 species
UGGAGCUCCGUCUAAGCACUAGGCAUGCCACGAGGGAGAAAGGCUACAGUGUACAUAGGAUGCAAGUGGACUCAGGGAUCAAGUGCUCAGACGGAGACAUGAUUCUCCGCACUGCCAACAAUACAGUGGUGUGCCCCGUGUUGCCUCCCUGCUGUCUUCCCAUAACUGUAGACAAUUAAUAAAUGAUGCUUGGAGCUGGUUGUGGGGGCAAAGCCCAGCACUCGAGAUGCUGUCGCAGCAAGAUGGAGAAGGUUACACAGCAAUGUUAUGUCUUUUUUAUUUUUUAUUUUUUAAAUUAUUUAUUUUGUGUAUAUGAGUACACUGUCUCUGUCUUCAGACGCACCAGAAGAGGGUGUCAGAUCCCGUUACAGGUGGUUGUGAGCCACCAUGUGGUUGCUGGGAAUUGAACUCAGGACCUUUGGAAGAGCAGUCAGUACUAUUAACUGUUGAGCCAUUGCUCCAGCCCCCAAUGUUUUGUUUGUGUGUGUGUGUGUGUGUGUGUGUGUGUGUUUAAUGGUAUAUUAAUUAGUAUUGCAGGUUUGUUUGAUUGAUUAGUUUAUGCACAUGCCUGUUUGCGUGCAUGUGUCCCAGCACAUGUGUGGAGAUGAGAACAUUUGGGAGUCUGCUCUUCCCUGUCACUGUUUGAGUCAUGAAGACUAAACUCAGGUCAUGCUUGGCGGCAAGCGCCUUUAACCUCCUGAGCCAUCUCUCCACCAUAAGGCUGUGUCUUAAAAAAAUAAUUUGUAGAGGUUGGGAAAUGGUUCCGUGCUUAAGAACACUUGCUUUCGUUCCCAUGGGACCUGGAUUUUAUCCCUGGAACCCACAUGGCCGCUCUUAAGCAUCUGCGAUUCCAGUUCUAGGGCGUCUGGCGCCCUCUCUGGUCAUCCCAGGCACUGCACGUGCAAGUGCCUGUGACACAUGGGAGGAAAUCACCCAUAAGAUGAAGCUUGGUUUUGGUUUUGGUUUCUUUGACACAGAGUCACAGUAUGUGUCUCAGUCUGGUUUAGCUCCCAGCACUCCUCCUGGCUCAGCUUUCCAAGUGCUGGGAUUACAGACAUAAACCACUUUCCCUAACUUUGGGUAUUUGUAUUGUUUUGGUUUUUGAGACAAGUCUCUAAAGCCCAGGCUAGACCCAACCUUGGCAAGGAUCCUCCUAGUCAGGCUCCUGAACCUGGCUUGAUGCUUGGUUUUGAUGGUUAUUAUUUCAUUUGCUAUCAUCUCUUCACAGUUUACUUUUGACAUUAAUAUGUUUCUAAGAUCAUAAAUGAAAUUAAACGACAUCCUCGUCAAGUGUGGCCUUUUGUAUACUAGGAUUUAAUCAACCGAGCGUUCCUUUCUUUGCGGUUAGCCAUUUUCACAUUUUUACUCCUCAAAAUUCGAUUGUAACAGUACAGUCACCAGGCGAGGGCGGCUGAGGCAGGAGUAUUACUGAGAACUUGAGUUAAUCUGGGCUGUCCAUACAAUUGAGUGCAUAUAAUUAGACCAGUGUGGGUUAGAGCCUAAGACCCUAUUAAAAAAGAAACACGACAAACACCACCAGAAGUUCAAGUAUAUUCCCACACAGUCAGACCUGGGGCUGGCUCCAUUCUAGGGGUGCAAUGGUAGAUGUUCGGCUAGAAUCCAUGAACACCAAAGUGGAAAGGGGUACCCUAGAGGAAUAUGUAGAAAAGACCCCUGGAAAGGGGAAAACACCCCCACGUUGUGGGGUUUGACCUUUUUUGCACAUUUGAUCUCACUGGGGUGCCUGAAGAGUGAAUGUCCAGGAGAAGGGUCAUACAAGACCAGUGAAAAUGGGAGACUGAGGCUGGCAGCCCAGCCUGAGGAAUAGAGAGCGGAGAAGAUUGACCAGGAGGGGAAAAAGACGAGGGAGGAGCAACAGAGCAGGAGGCUGCGGUGCAGAGAUCGCCAAGUUCAAGGCCUGCCUGGGCUGAAGAAUCCAUGUUAGGAUAGUGAGGUAGGGAAGGAGGACAGAGGGACCGCCCGGAGAGGCCGGGCUGGAGUGGUUGUGCAGGUCUGGUUAGCUAAUUGUGUUAGAGGGCAGUGUGCAAAGACUGUUGUGUAAGCUAGGGGAGACUGCCCCGGCUGGCCGGCCCUGUCGCCACGCCUCUGAGCAGUCAGAUAAAGGGUCAUUUGUGAAACCCACCCAGAACUGAUUAGUCAUUCCAACCCCAGAGAAGGGAAACUUAUUGCUGAAACGAUGUCUCUGUAACUGGACGACAUGGAAAACUAAGGGGUCCAUACUCAUAAGAUGUGAGGAGACAGCCAUUACAGCAUUUCAGCUCCUGAUUUGAAGAUCUAAAGAAGUCCUUGAUUAGAGAACUGCCCCCAUCGAGAUAUCCUCCCUGGCUCGAGGUGGUUGUUUUUGUUUGCUUGAUAUACAUCUGGAAACAAUCUCCAUAACGUGGAGAUAGUAGCCCAAGGUCACACAGACAGUAUAGAAAAGCCAGGCUCCCGAUCCUCCAAUUCUCCACACUUCUACUUAAAAGUACAAAGUGCAGAAUUCUGAGUACUCUCCUGGACGGAGGUGGGGGUGGGGGACAAAAACGGAGGUGGGGGGUGUUUUUAUUUGCCUAACCUUGUCUGCCAAAGCAAACUUGCUUCUCUGGACAGGUUUGCUCUUCUUUUAGGCUCGUAGUUAGCAAAAUAGUCGUCCUUCCCCGUCCUACUCAGAGCGCCACAAGCAGGUACGUGCCUGUUGUCUCUACAUGGGCUUGGGACAGAGGUUCUCUGGUUCAGGCCGCCUAAGGACCUCUCGGUUCCUCCUCUGUUUGGUUAACCCUGCUUCUAAGAAGCACCUGACACGCUGUGGGUGCUGAUUCCCUCGGUGCCAGCGAGUUUCUGUUGUCCUUCGGUUAUAAUUGUUAACCUGAAUGGAAUGCCAAACUUCUGGUUCACAACAAGUUGCUGUUUAACUGUGGCUAACUUGGGGGCUAUGGAAAAAAUGGGGAGUGUGUCCUGUUAGCUCGGAAGCUACCCUCUUCCAAGCACGGUCUUCACAAUGACUAGAAAUAAGUGCCCCGUAAAGACGUGGGUGCUACUGUGUCUGCAGGUGUGCAGGGGAAUUUUACCCUUCACCUCCCUUUAUUAACUCUUAAUUUAGACACCUUUUCAGUCUCCGACAAGUCAAGACUUGCUUGGGGAUUAGAACAAGGUGAUCGUAAGGCCACCUUUAAAACAAAACAAAACAAAAAACCCUCUAAGGCCUCUAGUGUUAAGUUCUGCUUCCAGCAGCUUUGCCCACUCACUCCCAACUUCAGAUUUGGGUUUGUUUCCCUUUCUUAAAGGGAAGUAUGGAAACUCGCUUGUUCAGUGACAUUAUUGUACAUCGCAGGAUCGAGUUUGCUACCAUUAUACUGUGUUCUCUCAAUGGUGUUUGCUCUGAGGGUGGGUCGAAAGGCUGUUCAGUGUCUCGUAAAACAUUUACCAAAAGCACUGAGCCAUGGUUUUGAAGGGCAUUCCGCUGCCAGAGCGUGGGAGGCGAGGACGGCAGGGCAGAGUGAGCACCAGGUGUUUGGCAGGUACUGGUUUCAUACUUUGGUAUUUAUUAAUUUUUAAAAACUGUGGAUUGCAUAGGCCUUGGGCCCCCCUUCUCCUAUAGGGGUGGGGAUGGUGACCGGGGAAAUAUGUGGGGUGAGCCGGCAGAAAGGAUUUCUUGGUAAAUCUUAGUUUCCCAGUCCUGCAGACUUGUAAGCCUCCGCUGUUUUCGGUUGUACUAGAGAGCUUGAGCCUGUCAUGGAUAGAGGCGUGAGAGGUGGCCCGACCCUUUGCUGUGUGUAUGGACUUUAGCAAGGAGCCAGGCCUGCGGAUUCUGUGAGGCCAACCAAGUGUCACCUUGUGCCUUGUACCUGGUGACUCAUUCAAUUGAAAGUUUUUGCUAAAAGGUGGCUCUGAUUUCUUGAAAAUUUUUCUCCUUCCCGCCCCCAUCCCUCUUGCUUUAAGUUUAGACAAGAUAAGUCCAAAUUAAAAGGUCAUCGUGAAAGCAGGUUUUUAAUCUUUAGAUCUAGACUUUUAGGCACAGCAAUUUUAGAGUCUCUUUGUGUUGCUGGCAAUGACCUUGGGAGAUUUCUGGGUUAGCAUGCUUCGGGAGCACUGAGUCUUUAUUUGCCUCCCCCCACCCCUUGGUAGAAAAUUUGAGCUCAUGUGAUCAAGAAGGAACCUGUAUUUAUUUUUGAUCAGUUGUCAUGGUGAUUAUGCUGGUCAGAGAUAAUAUAGUUAUGGCUAAAAUCCAAACUGGAAAUCAGAAAUCCC